rnacentral:rRNA from 1 species
CCUACGGGGGGCUGCAGUAGGGAAUAUUAGUAAUGGGCGAAAGCCUGAACUAGCAACGCCGCGUGUGCGAAGAAGGCCUUCGGGUUGUAAAGCACUUUUUGAGAGGAUGAGGAAGGACGGUACUCUCAGAAUAAGUCUCGGCUAACUACGUGCCAGCAGCCGCGGUAACACGUAGGAGGCAAACGUUAUCCGGAUUUACUGGGCGUAAAGCGCGUGUAGGUGGUUUGGUAAGUAGGGCGUGAAAGCUCCUGGCUCAACUGGGAGAGGACGUCCUAAACUGCCAAGCUUGAGGAUGGUAGAGGGAGGUGGAAUUCCGGGUGUAGCGGUGGAAUGCGCAGAUAUCCGGAGGAACACCAGUGGCGAAGGCGGCCUCCUGGACCACUCCUGACACUCAGACGCGAAAGCUAGGGUAGCAAACGGGAUUAGAUACCCUUGUAGUC